GAGGAAAGCAGUCACAUCCCAGUGCUA
rnacentral:piRNA from 1 species